rnacentral:rRNA from 1 species
UCUGGUGAUUAUGGCUUGAAGGUAACACCCGUUCUCAUAACGAACAGGUCGGUUAAAAUUCAAUGUAACCAUGGUACUGCAGGGGUAAUCUUGUGGAAGAGUAGGUUGUCGCCAGGU